rnacentral:rRNA from 1 species
GAUGAACGCUGGCGGCGUGCCUAAUACAUGCAAGUCGAGCGAACGGACGAGAAGCUUGCUUCUCUGAUGUUAGCGGCGGACGGGUGAGUAACACGUGGAUAACCUACCUAUAAGACUGGGAUAACUUCGGGAAACCGGAGCUAAUACCGGAUAAUAUUUUGAACCGCAUGGUUCAAAAGUGAAAGACGGUCUUGCUGUCACUUAUAGAUGGAUCCGCGCUGCAUUAGCUAGUUGGUAAGGUAACGGCUUACCAAGGCAACGAUGCAUAGCCGACCUGAGAGGGUGGUCGGCCACACUGGACCUGUGACACGGUCCAGACUCCUACGGGAGGCAGCAGUAGGGAAUCUUCCGCAAUGGGCGAAAGCCUGCCGGAGCACCGCCGCGUGAGUGAUGAAGGUCUUCGGAUCGUAAAACUCUGUUAUUAGGGAAGAACAUAUGUGUAAGUAACUGUGCACAUCUUGACGGUACCUAAUCAGAAAGCCACGGCUAACUACGUG